CGGUGCAGCCUGCCGCCUCGGUUCGGUCGCUACGCAACCUCUCGCCGCUUUAAAUUUAAGUAUAAUUUCUUACCUAGUGAGUAGGCGACCUUGGUGGGACUGACUCUUCCCAGCUCUCCCGAGAAUGUAACGAUGUUGAACCAGACGAGAACAAUUUCCUUGAGCUUUAACUGCCUGUAACACUAGUUGGAGCCUGUUCUUGACAACACCUACAGUUGAGCAUCAAAGCAGCCUGAUAGCUACUGCUGUGUAAUUUGGGCAAGCCUGAUUUUAAGCAUUGAGGAUUCAGGACAAACUUUACCCUUUGACCCAGUUAAACAGGCAGAUGGGAGAAGUGUUUUUGCUGACUUGGGCAACCAGAAUUCACAAGCAGGACUUCGGUUUCUCUAUGGAAAAUGUUCUGCCUUCCUGUGACUGUGUGUUCCAGAGCUCUAUGUCAAAAUUUAAAAAUGUGAAGAGGAAGAUAAAAGCUAGAACUCAGUGACUGAGCUCGAUCACCAGCCGCUGCAGAGGGGAGAGGAAGGACAAGCUUAGAGUCAUGGAGCCUUAGUGAAGAAGGCCAGGAGAAUCAACUCAGGCGUCUGGAAAAAGCAAGAGACACAGAGAAAAGGGGGUUGUCACACAUUCCUGCUAUUAGUCCCAGCACUGUGGCUUGGGGCUAUGGGUGGAGGCAGGCCGAUCUCUGCGAGUUCAAGGCCAGCCUGGGUUACAUAGUUCCAGCUACAUAGACUUUGGAAAAUGCUUUUAUCCUUUGCCACUCCAGCUUUCCUGUCAGGUGACUCUUUCCACCAGAUCUUUUGAUACAGAAGCAGGGGGACACCACCACUGCCCCUGCUGCAAACUGUCUUUCUUAAAUCGUAGGCUAUGUGAUAACUUUGGGAUAGACUCACAUUCUGUGAGUCUAUCCCAAAUGUGAUAUCUUUGGGAUAUGUGAGUCUAUCCCAAUGUGAUAACUUUGGGAUAGACUCACAGAAGCACAGGGGGCAUGACAUUGAAUAUUUCACUGGCCAUAAAAGAGGAGUGUGGCCUUCCAAUUGCUUCUAAUUCUCUUCUAGAAUUCCCCAGUUAUUGGUGUGGUGGGGGCAGAGGCAAAAAUGGGGUCACACACGAAAGGAGAUCUCAUCACUUCCCAGGAGUCACCAUGGAUGAUGGACGUCCAAAGUGAGGGAGACAAACCCCUGGGGCUGCCGGGAGAGGGAUCCAGCACAGGAUGGGGAAGGCUGGGAAGAUGAGCUGGGCAGCAGGCAUAGAGAACAGCCAACCCAGACUGUAGCAAGAAGCCCUUGAAGGCAUCUCCGGCUAAGAGCCAACAAACAGACAAAAACAGCACAGCUGCUCUCUGGUCUCGUGCAUUUGACCGUCCAAAAAAAGGAACUCAACGAAAUCCACUCAGGCCAACGACUCUCAUGUAGAAAGCUAAACAACAGAACACAGGGCAACACAAAAAGUUCUACUAGAAGGAAACAUACGGCUGGGGGUGCGCUGAUUUGGUAGUUUAGCUUGUAUGAAGCCCAGGGUUCGAUUCCCCAGCACGGCAUAAAAUUCAGCCUUGCCAGUGAAUGCCUAUACUCCUAACCUCAGGGAGAUGGAAACAAGAGGAGCGGUUCAUUGCCAUGCUCAGCUAUGAGGAUAGCCUGGACUAAAUGAUACUAUAGCUCAAAAACGCGAACAAAUGAAAAAUCAGAAAGUGGGCUAUUUAAAAUGCUGUGUAUAAAGACACAUCCACUCCCUUAAGAAAACUUAAUUUUCUGU
rnacentral:lncRNA from 1 species